rnacentral:tRNA from 2 species
GAUGAGGUGCCUGAUAAAAGGAUUACGUUGAUACUGUAAUUAUGUAGAUAAUACCCUCAUCU